rnacentral:rRNA from 1 species
UACGAGGGGAGCAAGCGUUGUUCGGAUUUACUGGGCGUAAAGGGCGCGUAGGCGGUCGUGACAAGUCACUUGUGAAAUCUCCGGGCUUAACUCGGAACGGUCAAGUGAUACUGUCGGACUAGAGUACAGAAGGGGCAACUGGAAUUCUCGGUGUAGCGGUGAAAUGCGUAGAUAUCGAGAGGAACACCUGCGGCGAAGGCGGGUUGCUGGGCUGAUACUGACACUAAGGCGCGAAAGCGUGGGGAGCGAACAGG